AGCGUUGUUCGGAUUCAUUGGGCGUAAAGGGUGCGUAGGCGGCGCGGUAAGUCGGGUGUGAAAUCUCGGAGCUUAACUCCGAAACUGCAUUCGAUACUGCCGUGCUUGAGGACUGGAGAGGAGACUGGAAUUUACGGUGUAGCGGUGAAAUGCGUAGAUAUCGUAAGGAAGACCAGUGGCGAAGGCGGGUCUCUGGACAGUUCCUGACGCUGAGGCACGAAGGCCAGGGGAGCAAACGGG
rnacentral:rRNA from 1 species